rnacentral:lncRNA from 10 species
GUUUGGAGGAGACACACAUCCAAACCAUAUCACACAUGCAAAUGAAAAUGCAGCAUCCGUGGCUUGCUAAGCAUGUGUGGAGCUCAGGGUGCCAGGAGGGGCUGGACAGAUACAUGCGCGGUACUCAGAGUAGAGGUGGCAUGUAAAGCCACAGGUCCGGAUGAAAUCCGCCAGGUAUUGGGGGAUGACAAGAGGUCUUCAGACUGAGCCCUGGGGGAGCUCCAACAGUUAGAAGCCGCGAAGGGGAAGAGGAUUCAGCAAGGAAAACAGAGAGGUAGAGGUCCUUGAAAACGGAAAUAAAACCAGAUAAAUAAUUUGCAACUUCCUUGUCUGCCAAGACUACUGUGAACAUAUACUCUGGUGACCCGGACAUUGUUACAAGCCUCAGAGCAUGGAUCCUUCUGGCAGAGAAAAGAUUGUCAUAAGCAUAGACCUUUAGCUUGAUGCCUUCAUGAGAUAAAGGGGAAACUGGAGCUUGGAACUUGAUUUCAUCCACAGGAACGGCUGGAAAAUCAUCUUCAAUCAUUUCACCUGGAAGUCUCCCAAGAGGACAUGAGUAUCCUGUUAAGACAUCCUUUUAUGUUUUCAGUAGCUUUGCAGUUUUGUCUUUGAGUUGCUCAAGGCAAGAAGACCCGGUGCCAGCAAGACUGAAACAAAAAAGCAAAAGAGCUUUUAAAAGCAAGCCUUCUUCUGACUCAGAACCUGCUCCCGGACCUCCCCGUGGUCUCCCUGGACUGGUGCUGUGACUCUGGGGGAACGCCAGGGAAGGAAGAGAGGAAAACCUUGUUAUUGAUGCUAAAUGAUACCCUCUCAAACAAGAGAGUUCUUCUCAUCUUCUGUUUUCUAUGAAGCAAGGAUAAUAAGAAGCUUCAAAUUGGAACAUGUUUUAUUUUUCAAAACUUAAAGAGCUUAAAGUAAUUUAUACACACGCUUUUAAAAAUUUUAAGAAGUACUGAAAGGCUUGCAGUGAAAAGCUCGUCUUCUGCUCCUCAGAGCGAUCACUUUGUAAAAUGAAAUUUUUAUUGAGGUAAAAUUUACAUAUGGUGAAAUACGUACACAGACUUUAAGUCUUCAAGCCAAGUGGUUUUGAUAAAAAUUGGUGCAGUGGUGUAACUACCGCCACGUUCAAGACACACAUCAUUUCUAUCACCCCUGAAAAUACCUUCACGCCCCUUGGCCAUGCUAUACAGGAAAGCAAAAGUAAUUCACCAUAAUGACCAUGAAAAUGACCACUGAGUAGAAGAAUUGUUAUGGAAAUAUCUUUUACUAUUGUUUUUAAAAGAUGAAAUAGUUAUAAAUAUGGUUAUAUUUUGGAUCCACUAGAGGGAGUAAUAAAGUCCAAUUGAUCAAUUUUUUAUUUUAUCUCGUGUUUUUGAUAUCAUUCUUCAAGAAACCUAAGAUCACUGAUUUACUCAUGCUUUCUUCUAAGAGUUUCACAGUUUUAGCUCUUACAUUAUAGUCCAUGAUCCAUUUCAAGUUUAAUUUUGUGUAUGGUGUGAGGGAAGGGUCCACACAUACUUUUACAUGUGGCUGUACAAUUGUCCCAGCAACAUUCGUUGAAAAGAUUAUUCUUUCCCCCAUUGGAUUGUUUGGGUACCCUUGUUGAAAAGCAAUUGAUAAUGACUGUAAAGGGUUAUUUCUGGACUCUGAAUUCUCUUCCAUUGAUCUAAAUGUCUCUCCUUAUGUCAGCACCACACUGUCUUGAGUAUAGGAGUUUUGUAUUAAGCUUUGAAAUCAGGGUGAAUAAGUCCUCCAACUUUGUUUUUCAUUUCCAGAUUGUUUUUGCUAUUCUGUGGAUUUUGCAUUUCUAUAUGAACUUUAGAUCAGUUUGUCAAUUUCUACAAAAAUAUCCAACUGAGGUUUUAAUAAGGAUUGCAUUGAGUCUUAGAUCAAUUUGUGGAGAAUUGUCAUCCUAAUAAUACCAAGUCUUCCAGCCUUUGAAAAUGUAAUGUCUCUCUCCAUUUAUUUAGAUCUUCUUAAUUUCUUUCAACAAAGUUUUGUAGUUUUCAGAGUGUAAGCUUUGCACUUCUUUUGUUAAAUUUGUCCCUAAAUAUUUUAUUCUUUUUGAUUCCAUAUUGUGAAUGGAACUGCUUUCUUAAUUUCAUUUUAGAUUGCCAUUGUUAACGUAUAGACAUACAAUUGAUUUCUCUAUGUUGAUUUAUCCUGCCGCCUUGCUGAAUUCAUUUAUUAGUCAUUUUUUAAAAAUAGAUUUUUUAAAGGAUUUUCUGUAUAUGAGAUUAUGUUGUCUGAAAAUAAAGAUAGUUCUAUUUCAGAC